rnacentral:rRNA from 1 species
AAGAAGUAAACCCCCUUGAAGACGACGAGGUAGAUAGGGCAGAGGUGGAAGUGCAGCAAUGCAUGGAGCUGACUGUUACUAAUCGGGUGAGGGCUUGACCAAAA